rnacentral:rRNA from 1 species
UACAGAGGUCUCGAGCGUUAGGCGGAGUCACUGGGCUUAAAGCGUGUGUAGGUGGAUCGGUAAGUACCUUGUGAAAUCCCACGGCUUAACCGUGGAACUGCUUGGUAUACUGCCAGUCUUGAGCCAGCUAGGGGCUACCGGAACAAAUGGUGGAGCGGUGAAAUGCGUAGAUAUCAUUUGGAACGCCAAUGGUGAAAACAGGUAGCUGGGGCUGUGCUGACACUGAGACACGAAAGCCAGGGGAGCAAACGGG